AUAUUUGCCCUUUAAUAUAGGCUGUGCUAUCUCUAUUCUAUCCACAUGAUGGCAAGCUAGAGACAACCUUACUACCCCUAAUAUCUAUACAUACGGUUUUCUUCUUCCUUUAUAUUUAUCUAUAUGAUCUCCUUUUCCAAAUAAAUCCCUUGUUUUUUAUUAUCCAUGGUUCCCCUUUUUACUAAAUGCCCUAAUUUCCUUAUGUGCGCCCUUUCUGAACCUCACGCUUGGCCGUUGUUUGCGGUUGUGCUGUAAUAUUGGUUCCGCUGUUACAUCGAGAAUUGCGACCUGUUUAUGCGCCGCUGUAAUGAAUGGGCGCGCGUCAAUGACGUCACACGUUUGACGCUGACGCAAGGAAAGGCCCUAUUUAAGGGAGGAACACACGCACCUGCCUUGUGUUGCCUCGUGUACACCCUGGGACACAGAGACCCUUACCUUUCGCCGCUCCACGGCCUCCUGUUUUAAAUACAGCGCAUGUUCACCAGCGGUACUUUUGACCUGAACAUUUGGCUUCAUAGGCUAUACAUGCCGCCCACGAUCUGUUGUCCCAGCAAACCUAAGAUCAUUUUAAUUAGUCUUUUUUGAGCUGUGCAGUGUGUCAGGGAUUAUCUAGCCCUGCAACCCAUGGAUCUUUCGUUUUGACCUCUAUUGGCUUACCAAAGGUGAUUCCCUGUUAUCAAAUACACGCUAUAUUUACAUUAUUACGGACAUUUCUACUCUUGUCCUUUCCUUCUCAGGUCUAUUGCGCAUUUUCUCUUCUAUA